rnacentral:rRNA from 1 species
UUCGCAAUGCCCGAAAGGGUGACGAAGCGACGCCGCGUGUGGGAAGAAGGCCUUCGGGUUGUAAACCACUGUCGGGAGUUAAGAAAUACAAGGAUAUUAAUAGUGUCUUUGUUUGACUAAGGCUCCGGAGGAAGCCACGGCUAACUCUGUGCCAGCAGCCGCGGUAAUACAGAGGCGGCAAGCGUUGUUCGGAAUUAUUGGGCGUAAAGAGCACGUAGGCGGCUAUGUAAGUCGGUCGUGAAAGCCUUCCGCUCAACGGAAGAACAGCAUCCGAUACUACAUGGCUUGAGUGCGGGAGGGGAGAGUGGAACUUCUGGUGGAGCGGUGAAAUGCGUAGAUAUCAGAAGGAACGCCGGCGGCGAAAGCGGCUCUCUGGCCCAUAACUGACGCUGAGUGUGCGAAAGCUAGGGGAGCAAACGGGAUUAGAUACCCCGGUAGUCCUAGCCGUAAACGAUGGGCACUAAGUAGAGGGGUUUUA